GAUGAACGCUGGCGGCGUGCCUAAUACAUGCAAGUCGAGCGAAGCGGGGACGGGUGAGUAACACGUGGAUAACCUCCUAUAAGACUGGGAUAACUUCGGGAAACCGGAGCUAAACCGGAUACUUAUAGUUGGAUCCGCGCCGCAUUAGCUAGGUGGUAAGGUAACGGCUUACCAAGGCAACGAUGCGUAGCCGACCUGGUAGGGUGAGCGGCCACACUGGAACUGAGACACGGUCCAGACUCCUACGGGAGGCAGCAGUAGGGAAUCGUCGGCAAUGGGGGGAACCCUGACCGAGCAACGCCGCGUGAGUGAAGAAGGUUUUCGGAUCGUAAAGCUCUGUUGUUAAGGAAGCGGUACUUAACCAGAAAGGGACGGCUAACUACGUGCCAGCAGCCGCGGUAAUUC
rnacentral:rRNA from 1 species